rnacentral:rRNA from 1 species
UACGAACUGUGCAAACGUUAUUCGGAUUCACUGGGCUUAAAGGGUGCGUAGGCGGCUUGCCAAGUAGGGUGUGAAAGCCCCCCGGCUUAACCGGGGAAUUGCGCCCUAAACUGGCGAGCUGGAGUGAGAUAGGGGUGUGUGGAACUUCCGGUGGAGCGGUGAAAUGUGUUGAUAUCGGAAGGAACGCCGGUGGCGAAGGCGGCGCUCUGGGCCAUUACUGACGCUGAGGAGCGAAAGCGUGGGGAGCGAACAGG